UAGGGAAUCUUCCACAAUGGACGCAAGUCUGAUGGAGCAACGCCGCGUGAGUGAAGAAGGGUUUCGGCUCGUAAAGCUCUGUUGUUAAAGAAGAAUGACAUUGAGAGUAACUGUUCAAUGUGUGACGGUAUCUUACCAGAAAGGAACGGCUAAAUACGUGCCAG
rnacentral:rRNA from 1 species